AAAUUGAAGAGUUUGAUCAUGGCUCAGAUUGAACGCUGGCGGCAGGCCUAACACAUGCAAGUCGAACGGUAACAGGAAGCAGCUUGCUGCUUUGCUGACGAGUGGCGGACGGGUGAGUAAUGUCUGGGAAACUGCCUGAUGGAGGGGGAUAACUACUGGAAACGGUGGCUAAUACCGCAUAACGUCGCAAGACCAAAGAGGGGGACCUUCGGGCCUCUUGCCAUCAGAUGUGCCCAGAUGGGAUUAGCUUGUUGGUGAGGUAACGGCUCACCAAGGCGACGAUCCCUAGCUGGUCUGAGAGGAUGACCAGCCACACUGGAACUGAGACACGGUCCAGACUCCUACGGGAGGCAGCAGUGGGGAAUAUUGCACAAUGGGCGCAAGCCUGAUGCAGCCAUGCCGCGUGUAUGAAGAAGGCCUUCGGGUUGUAAAGUACUUUCAGCGGGGAGGAAGGUGUUGUGGUUAAUAACCGCAGCAAUUGACGUUACCCGCAGAAGAAGCACCGGCUAACUCCGUGCCAGCAGCCGCGGUAAUACGGAGGGUGCAAGCGUUAAUCGGAAUUACUGGGCGUAAAGCGCACGCAGGCGGUCUGUCAAGUCGGAUGUGAAAUCCCCGGGCUCAACCUGGGAACUGCAUUCGAAACUGGCAGGCUUGAGUCUUGUAGAGGGGGGUAGAAUUCCAGGUGUAGCGGUGAAAUGCGUAGAGAUCUGGAGGAAUACCGGUGGCGAAGGCGGCCCCCUGGACAAAGACUGACGCUCAGGUGCGAAAGCGUGGGGAGCAAACAGGAUUAGAUACCCUGGUAGUCCACGCCGUAAACGAUGUCUACUUGGAGGUUGUGCCCUUGAGGCGUGGCUUCCGGAGCUAACGCGUUAAGUAGACCGCCUGGGGAGUACGGCCGCAAGGUUAAAACUCAAAUGAAUUGACGGGGGCCCGCACAAGCGGUGGAGCAUGUGGUUUAAUUCGAUGCAACGCGAAGAACCUUACCUGGUCUUGACAUCCACAGAACUUUCCAGAGAUGGAUUGGUGCCUUCGGGAACUGUGAGACAGGUGCUGCAUGGCUGUCGUCAGCUCGUGUUGUGAAAUGUUGGGUUAAGUCCCGCAACGAGCGCAACCCUUAUCCUUUGUUGCCAGCGGUCCGGCCGGGAACUCAAAGGAGACUGCCAGUGAUAAAC
rnacentral:rRNA from 1 species